rnacentral:rRNA from 1 species
UACGGGGGGGGCUAGCGUUGUCCGGAAUCAUUGGGCGUAAAGAGCGUGUAGGCGGCCCGGUAAGUCCGCUGUAAAAGUCAAAGGCUCAACCUUUGAAUGUCAGUGGAUACUGCCGGGCUAGAGUCCGGAAGAGGCGAGUGGAACUCCUGGUGUAGCGGUGGAAUGCGCAGAUAUCAGGAGGAACACCAACGGCGAAGGCAGCUCGCUGGGACGGUACUGACGCUGAGACGCGAAAGCGUGGGGAGCGAACAGG